UACGUAGGGGGCAAGCGUUGUCCGGAAUCAUUGGGCGUAAAGAGCGUGUAGGCGGCUCGGUAAGUCCGCUGUGAAAGUCCAGGGCUCAACCCUGGAAUGCCGGUGGAAACUGUCGAGCUAGAGUCCGGAAGAGGCGAGUGGAAUUCCUGGUGUAGCGGUGAAAUGCGCAGAUAUCAGGAGGAACACCGAUGGCGAAGGCAGGUCUCUGGGCCACUACUGACGCUGAGAAGCGAAAGCAUGGGGAGCGAACAGG
rnacentral:rRNA from 1 species